ACAACGGUGUUUAACCACAACGGGGACGAGGCGCGGGGGCGAGCUUGCCUCCCUCCCGUCGCGUUCUCACCCCCCGUCGGCGCGGGCGCUAGCGCCUAUCGUCGUUCGGGCUAACGAACCCCGGCGCGGCACGCGCCAAGGAAAACGAAACGAAGCGUUCCCCGCCCGACGCCCCGUUCGCGGAGCGCGCGGGCGGACGGUGCGCCAAUCUAAUGUCAAAACGACUCUCGGCAACGGAUAUCUCGGCUCUCGCAUCGAUGAAGAACGUAGCGAAAUGCGAUACUUGGUGUGAAUUGCAGAAUCCCGUGAACCAUCGAGUCUUUGAACGCAAGUUGCGCCCGAAGCCAUUAGGCCGAGGGCACGUCUGCCUGGGCGUCACGCAUCGCGUCGCCCCCCUCCACCCGAGCACUUCGCUCGCGAUGGGGGGGGCGAAGAUUGGCCUCCCGUGCCCCUCGGCGCGGCCGGCCCAAAUGUGAUCCCUCGGCGACGCACGUCACGACCAGUGGUGGUUGAAUCUCAACUCGCGUGCUGUCGUGCGGCGCGGCGUCGUCCGAAGUGGAAUCAAACGAUGACCCGAUGGCGCAUUGCGCCUCCGACCGCGACCCCAGGUCAGGCGGGAUCACCCGCUGAGUUUAAGCAUAUCAAUAAGCGGAGGGAA
rnacentral:rRNA from 1 species